rnacentral:lncRNA from 1 species
AAUGAUAAUAAUAACAGUGACUUCCACAGAUGUUGAUCACCAACUGUGGGCCAGGCCCUUUCACACUUUUCUUAUGUUAUCUUAUUUGGUCCUCACAACAAUCCGUUUUAUCAAUGAGGAAACUAAGACUGAGAAGUUAAAUACAUUCUCAAGGUCACAUGACUAGCUAGUGGUGGAUCCGGGAAACCACGUCUGUCUGACAUCUACGUCCAUUCUCUGGCCACUUUGCCAACUCACCUUCAAGGGUCAACGGUGAUAUUAUCAUAAACAAUUUCAGCAGGGAAUGAAGACAGAAGCCAGAUUGCAGUGGCUUUGAAAGAGAGGAAGUGGGAAAGGGGAAAAACACUUUAUCAACAACUUUGACUUUGAAGGAGAAAAGAGACAUAAAAUGAAAACCAGAAGCCUAAAGACAGCAGCAUGACCCAAAAACUUCCUGGUCUCUCCACCGUGGACAAUCAGGCCACUGGAAAGGGAGAUGAAACUGAAGGCCUCUGCCCUCUGAGAAGAUGAACAGAACUCACCAGAGCACAAAGAAAAUAAAUAUCUACUCCUGGUUGAAGUCUUUUUUCGACUAGAGUCAUGGCCUUCACAGGGAGACAAUCUAUUGACCACUUCCGGAGCUGUGCUGUGGAAAAAGAAGAGACCAGAAAAAGGAAGCCUUGGGGACAUGUUUUGCAUGAAUUAGCAAAGUCCAAUGCUGGAACAUGUAUAUGGUGGUGACUGAGCUUUGGCCAUGCAGGAGAUGGCAGGAGCAACAUAAAGUCCGCAGCCUGGUCCACUCUCAGCUGCAUGCACCGCACCCACCCCAGGUCUUUUGUUCAUAUUCAAGCAGAGGUGCCAAUGAAAACAAACCAGAGAUGUCUGCACAGAGUUCCUGCCCUAAGAAAAGCCCAGGGCAGAAAGGUGAGUGUGUCCAGUGUAAAGAGUCUCAGAGCUCCUAAUGACUCCAGCCCAGAACUGCAGCAGAAGUUGCCAAGUGAGACCAUCACUGGGGCGAAGCUGAUGGGGCUCCUGAACAAGUCUGUGGAAGAUACAGAGUGGAAUGUACCCCAGGGAGGACUGGACCGGUAUGGCACAUGGAGUAACGAAGAUCAGCAUCGCUGACCAGAAUCUAUGCCCAUUAUGAGCGAGCAGGGGGAAGGCGGCCUGCAUGCUGCCCAGGGUGAGUGAGAACUGACCUGGUGGGACACAAGGCCACCUGGGCCCAGAAGAAACAGCAGAGACCUAAGUAUUUGGUCCUUUUGUCCCCAAAGAUUGAGGGGCCUCAGGGACAGUUUGGGAGAAAAAUUUAAUGCUGAGCUGGACUCACAGCUCCAUUCUUGGGCACCAUUUUGUUGCCUGUCCUGACUUAGCCAAAUGGACAUUUAACACUUGUCAAAAAUAUCCCUUCAGAACACUCACUCUGAGUUGCCUGCUAAUUCCAUGAAGUCAUUUGUGGUUCUUCCAUGAUAAU